UGCGUAGGCGGAAGAUUAAGUCAGUGAUGAAAUCCUGCAGCUCAACUGUAGAACUGUUAUUGAUACUGAUCUUCUUGAAUACGGUUGAGGUAGGCGGAACAUGUAAUGUAGCGGUGAAAUGCUUAGAUAUUACAUAGAACACCGAUUGCGAAGGCAGCUUACUAAGCCGUGAUUGACGCUGAGGCACGAAAGCGUGGGGAGCGAACA
rnacentral:rRNA from 1 species